GAGGAUAUAGCUCAGUUGGUUUAGAGCGCUUGGUUGUGGCCCAAGAGGUCGCGGGUUCAAAUCCCGUUAUCCUCCCCA
rnacentral:tRNA from 1 species